UUCCGGUUGAUCCCGCCAGAGGCCAUUGCUAUCGGAGUCCGAUUUAGCCAUGCUAGUUGCACGGGUUUAGACCCGUGGCGAAAAGCUCAGUAACACGUGGCCAAACUACCCCGUGGAUCGGUAUAACCUCGGGAAACUGAGGCUAAUACCGAAUACUGCUCCAUCACUGGAAUGUGUGGAGCUCGAAACGCAUCCGCGCCACAGGAUGUGGCUGCGGCCGAUUAGGUUGACGGUGGGGUAACGGCCCACCGUGCCCAUAAUCGGUACGGGUUGUGAGAGCAAGAGCCCGGAGACGGAAUCUGAGACAAGAUUCCGGGCCCUACGGGGCGCAGCAGGCGCGAAACCUUUACACUGCACGACAGUGCGAUAAGGGGACUCCGAGUGCGAGGGCAUAGAGCCCUCGCUUUUCUGCACCGUAAGGAGGUGCAGGAAUAAGGGCUGGGCAAGACCGGUGCCAGCCGCCGCGGUAAUACCGGCAGCCCAAGUGAUGGCCGAUAUUAUUGGGCCUAAAGCGUCCGUAGCCGGCCGGACAAGUCCGUUGGGAAAUCCGCACGCUCAACGUGCGGGCGUCCAGCGGAAACUGUCCGGCUUGGGACCGGAAGACCCGAGGGGUACGUCCGGGGUAGGAGUGAAAUCCUGUAAUCCCGGACGGACCGCCUGUGGCGAAAGCGCCUCGGGAAGACGGAUCCGACGGUGAGGGACGAAAGCCAGGGUCUCGAACCGGAUUAGAUACCCGGGUAGUCCUGGCCGUAAACGAUGCCCGCUAGGUGUGACGCAGGCUACGAGCCUGCGUUGUGCCGUAGGGAAGCCGUGAAGCGGGCCGCCUGGGAAGUACGUCCGCAAGGAUGAAACUUAAAGGAAUUGGCGGGGGAGCACUACAACCGGAGGAGCCUGCGGUUUAAUUGGACUCAACGCCGGA
rnacentral:rRNA from 1 species